rnacentral:rRNA from 1 species
CGACCGCUGCCGGCAGGCCUAAGCUCAUGUAAGUCGAACGAAGUCUUCGGACUUAGUGGCGCACGGGUGCGUAACGCGUGGGAAUCUGCCCUUGGGUACGGAAUAGCUCAGAGAAAUGUGUGCUAAUGCCGUAUAAUGUCUUCGGACCAAAGUUUAUCGCCCAAGGAUGAGCCCGCGUAAGAUUAGCUAGUUGGUGGGGUAAAAGCCUACCAGGCGACGAUCUUUAGCUGGUCUGAGAGGAUGAUCAGCCACACUGGGACUGAGACUACGGCCCAGACUCCUACGGGAGGCAGCAGUGGGGAAUAUUGGUACAAUGGGCGAAAGCCUGAUCCAGCAAUGCCGCGUGAGUGAUGAAGGCCCUAGGGUUGUAAAGCUCUUUUACCAGGGAUGAUAAUGACAGUACCUGGAGAAUAAG